rnacentral:lncRNA from 1 species
AGGCAACCCAAGAGGAGGAUGAAUUGGAUUUAUUAAAUAUUAAAACAAAUAUGUGCACUAUUUAACAUGUGUGAAAUAAAGGUGCAGUGAAAGCAUUGAAUUAGAGCUAUGAGUAUACUGAUGCAAAUGAGAACAAAAUAGAAGUAAACAUAAGCACACACAAAUAUAAAAUUUUAUAGUGGUUCUAUCAUGCCCUCGACC